UCUCUCUCUCUUGGAGUUCCAGUCUCCUCCCCUUCCCUCAAACUUCUCUCCCGCCCAUCAUUGCUUCUUGUCCAAUGACAGGCCUCAUUCUAUCUUGUACCUGCCUUCCCCUGUAUGAUGUCAUCCUACAUGUUACCAUGGUUCCACAGCGUGUAUCCAACUUAUCUAAGAGAAUUGAGGGCACUUUCAAGUAAAAGAAGCCCAUACCAAUUACAUGUGCCGCUCUUGAAGAUGCCUUCUGCCCGUUGGGAUAAUAUGUCCGCCAGUUGUAAUUACAAGUUACUGUGGUAAAAAGUAUUUGAAGAAUGAAGACACGGAAUAACCAAGCAAACAUUGCUGAUUUUGCACUCAACAGUAGACCAGUGGGGGAAGCAAUGUAGCAAAGCCCAGCUGAGACUAAAGAGUGAGGAGACCCGCCUAAGCCCAGACUUCCAGCUGCCCCCCAUCGCCGAUGUGGAUCAAGCCGUCCGAGGUGCUCUCGAUCAUCCCAGCAGCCAGAGAAAAGCCACUGAUCAACUACAGUGCUCAGGGAAUGGAAUAACCCUACCGCUGAACCCUGCCCCAAUUCUUAAGGAGAGAUAGCAUGAGGUGUGCUCCUGGGGUUUUCCCUGAAAGACUCCAGGUCUCCUUUCUGCAGAGACUCUUGUCCAUCAAUGUUGACAGCAGCACUACUCACAACGGGUAAGUUAUGGAGACAGGCUAGGCGUCUGUCUACCGAGGACUGGAUAAAGAAAAUACGGUAUACGCACAGCAUGGAUUCAUCUUCAGGUGAAAACAAUGAAACUGUGUUGUUUCCAGAAGACAGAUGCAACUGGAGAAGACGCAUUCUAAGCAGGUUAAGUCAAUCUUAGAAAGACAAACAUGGGGUUGGGGAUUUGGCUCAGUGGUAGAGCGCUUGCCUAAUAAGCGCAAGGCCCUGGGUUUGGUCCCCAGCUCCGAAAAAAAGAAAAGAAAAAAAAAAAACUUAACUCUGGAGCCCAGUGUCACGUAACUCAAUUAAAAUACAUUAUUAAUAAAACAAAA